GCUGCCCCCGGAGCUCCGCCUCCUCCAAUCAGCGGCCGCGCUGGCGGGCAGGGGUUAACCAGGGGACCCCGCACCGGCGGAACAGGCCGCGCCUGACAGGGCUGCUGAGGGCGGGCGGCUGGCGGCGCUUGCGGCCCCGCCUGCGACGUGAGGGGUGGUUGGUCGGCUCGGGGGCGCCGGGUAAGCGGCCGGGGCCGGAGCCUCGGGAGCCCGCCUUUGUGGAGACAGAGUCGGAGGCCGACGGUUGGGCUGCGCCUCAGGCCGCGGAGCAGCGUCGGAGCGGCGACCCGGCGGGACUGCCGCGCUCGCCCUGCCUCUCAUCUACACACAUUUUUUGGGGUGAGGAAAGAGGUUGCUCUGCCCAGCGAUGGAUCCGAGGAGAGAGCCCGGGAGCGGGGCAAGGGGUGUCACUGAGUUCGCGGUGCCCACCCGAUGUCCGCCAGCCGGCCAUCCCCCGCAGCCAUGGUCCACGUCCCCAGACCCCACGCCACGCCACGCCACAGGCACGGAAAGCCGGCCGGCGGCUCUCGCCUUCCACGUACCUGACUGGCCUGGCGUCUCCAGGGACAAAGGUGUCCUGGGAUCACAGCCGAGCCCUCACCAGCAUGCCCCCCUCCAGAGCGGAGGUCGCUACCCGCCCCCCGGGGAACUCUCUCAAAGCACCUAGGGGGAGGUUCCAUCUUAACCUCCGGUGACAAGAUGGCCCUCCUGGGGUGCUGGGGGCCUGCUCUUCAGAGUGUCUGCUGAGAGGGUGAGCGCCUGCGACAGGAGGGCUUUCCUGCAUGGGAAAGGGUUCCACCUCUGACCCCAGCGCCAAAGGGGGAAAAAGUCACUUUCUUCACCUAGUUUCACGAGCCAAGACACGGACUUCAAAGUAACGACUCAGCUUUUUGUUUUCUUCUGAUGCUUCCUUGACCAGAUGUCUGAACGUGUCUGAAGGACUACAAGGGAAUCACAAGAGAAACAUUCAAGCUUUUACACAGCCGGCUUGAACUUUUCCAGGCGUUGGCAAGUACUCCAAAGUAGAAUUCUGUUAUUAUUAAUUUUUCCACAUAUUGACUGGACAGAGACCUGCCAAAUGGGCAAAGGAUGAUAAUUCCUUUUUGUACAUUCUCCAUCCUUCAGAACUCAAGUAGAAAAACUCAAAUUGGGAGUCAUCUUCCAGAUCCCAGGCUGCUUGGAAAGAUGAACGUUUUGAAGGGAAGAGGGGAAGAGCAAGUCAGGAGCAAAGGGUAGGGAAAGGGGGCAAGGAGGAGCCCCCAGAAUGCAGUCAGUCUCAAGCAUGAAAAUGAUGAACAAAAGGAGUGCACUGUGGCUCCUCAAGUCUGCACAGUGGGAAAACAAAGACAGUUCUUUGAUUAUAGUGAGAUCAAGAAAAUAACACCCACAUUCCCAUAACUUGGGAGACUGAGAUGAAACAAGAUUGCCAGCCUGGGUAUCUUAAGACCAAAAGAAAGGGGCCUGGAGAGAUGACUCCGUGGUUAAGAUUGGCACUGUUCUUGGGUUUGCUCCAAAACAUCUACACCCGUAAGGCUUCCAUGGACAGUGCGUUCAUGUGCACACACAGACAUAAUUAAAAAUAAAUCUGAAAAGAAUAUGGCCUGCAACUGACUAUGCAGCAUGGGCUGGCCUUAGGUGGUGGGUCCUUCGACCUCUUUCAGAGUUCUGGGAUUACAGGCAUGCAGCCACUAUACACAGCCUAAAAAUAACUCCUUAAAUAACACUAGAGUGUCAUAAAUUAGGAGAGGAGACCAGAAGAGAAAGAGAAAUGGACAGUUGAAACUGAGUUCUUCCAGCUGGUCCACAAACAAGUUGUCUGGGCCAAUUAUCUAAUCGUUUCAAGUUUCACCAACCUUGUGCUAGAGCUAGAGGAUUCCCAGUGCCCUUUCUAGACCACAGGUCCCAUUUUCAGCUUUUUGUUUUGAUAAAAGGUCUAAUGUAUAGCUGAGGCUAACCUAGAUCUCCCACUGGCUGAAGAUACUGUCAAACUUCUGGUCCUCCUGCUCCUGCUUUCCAAGAGCUAGGAUUAAUUAUAAGCUAGGCAAGCAGUCUACCAACUGAACUACAUUCCAAGCACACAGACUCACCUUUAUCUGUUUUCAGAGAGUCUCACUAUGUAGCCAAGAUUGUUCUAAAUUCUCAGUCCUUUUGUCCCAGGCCCUAGGAGCUGGCAGUAUAGGCAUAUGCCCUGAUGCCUGUUUCCUGAGUGCAGUUUUAAAGGAACCAUUUGAAGACAGAUGAAAUUUUUAGUUUCACCUUUUUGGGGGGGAAGAUGGGGGGUCAAGACAGGGUUUCUCUGUGUAGCCCUGGCUGUCCUGAAACUCAUAGAGAUCCGCCUGCCUCUGCCUCCCGAGAGCUGGGAUUAAAGGCGAAUGCCACCACUGCCCAGCAAUUUUAAUUUUCUAUAAAUGAAGCUUUAUGUCUUUUUUUUCCUGCUAUUUUGUGUGAGUUCUUCAUGGAUUCUCCCUCUGUUUCCUAACAGUAGGAUCUUUUCUGGCUCAGCUUAGCUUCCCUGGCUCACCAGCCUUUCUUUUCACUGUUCAUUCUCUUCACCAACUGCCUUCUCCUCUCUAGUCCUUCUCAGUCUCCUUUCUUCUGUACCAACUGUCUUCUCUAACCCUACUCUCUGACCCUUCUCUCUUCCUACUCCUCUGACUCUUGGACCCUACUCUCUGUCUCCUGAAGUCCAAGAGUUAACUGACACAAAAGGUCAUAGGGUCAAGCAGUUCUAACGGCUAAGCAUUUCCAAAGAGUCAGUUGACUAGCCAUUGGGGAUCCUUUAAAGGGCCAGGCACACAAAAUAAAUCGUACUACAUAUAGGUGUCAAGGAAAGUCAUACCACCCAAGUGUGCUCACUCUAGGCUUAACAGCUGUUCCAAUAGAAACUACUUAGAAAAAUUGGAGACUUUCUUAUUUUAAGCAUCAUAUAAUUCAAAAUAUACUAGCCAGGCCUAGUGGCGCAUGCCUCUGAUGCCAGCACUCAAGAGGCAGAGACAGAUCUUUGAGUUUGAGGCCAGCCUUAACUAUAUAUAGCUCCAGGACUACACAAAGAAGCUCUGGCUCAAAAAAAAUAUAAUAAAAAUAACAGGCAAGAAAAUAGAUUUUUCUCAGAAAAAUUUUUGUAACAUUUAUAACCUUGGUUUCAGGGAUCAAUUUAUGUAAACAGUGUUUGGUCAUGUGAAGUAGCCUGUUUGAGAAUGGCAAGUGAUGCUAUGUCCUGUAUAAGAAUCCAGUUCCCAUCAGCUAUGAAAAACUUAAACAUAGAUGGAACCAGAUUUUGGUUUUAGAGAAAUAAAGGAAAAGUUUUCCAAAUUCAUGUUAAAGUCAGAGAAUCACACAUCCCCUGGUCAUACUCGAGACUAGCUGUAGUUUUCUCCACAGUGUGUUGUGCUGAUUUCUCUGUAGGUUAAUAAUGAAUCAAAGGGCCUGGCGUGGUGGCGCAGGCCUUUAAUCCCAGCACUUGAGAGGCAGAGGCAGGCGGAUUUCUGAGUUCGAGGCCAGCCUGGUCUACAAAGUGACAGCCAGGGCUAUACAGAGAAACCCUGUCUCGANNNNNNNAAAAAAAAAAAAAAAAAAGAAUCAAAGGAAGAGGAAAGGUUGCUUUGACAAAGAAACUGGGGAAAUCUGGGUUAAACUUAUGCAGACUCUUUGAUUGUACUUCAUUAUGGAGCCUAUAAUACAUAUAUAUGUGAUUGUCCCUGA
ensembl:antisense 1700052K11Rik RIKEN cDNA 1700052K11 gene